GACGAACGCUGGCGGCGUGCCUAAUACAUGCAAGUCGAACGCACAGUUUAUACCGUAGCUUGCUACACCAUAAACUGUGAGUUGCGAACGGGUGAGUAACGCGUAGGUAACCUGCCUGGUAGCGGGGGAUAACUAUUGGAAACGAUAGCUAAUACCGCAUAAUAUUGAUUAUUGCAUGAUAAUUGAUUGAAAGAUGCUAUUGCAUCACUACCAGAUGGACCUGCGUUGUAUUAGCUAGUAGGUGAGGUAACGGCUCACCUAGGCGACGAUACAUAGCCGACCUGAGAGGGUGAUCGGCCACACUGGGACUGAGACACGGCCCAGACUCCUACGGGAGGCAGCAGUAGGGAAUCUUCGGCAAUGGACGAAAGUCUGACCGAGCAACGCCGCGUGAGUGAAGAAGGGUUUCGGAUCGUAAAGCUCUGUUGUAAGAGAAGAACGGGUGUGAGAGUGGAAAGUUCACACUGUGACGGUAGCUUACCAGAAAGGGACGGCUAACUACGUG
rnacentral:rRNA from 1 species